rnacentral:lncRNA from 1 species
CACCCCGCUGUAGUCUGUAAUGGACUGGCCUGAGGUCUCACUACAAACAAGCGUCUGCUGGAAGAGAGUAGGUGAGUUGUGUUUAGUCUCUUUGCUAAAGAAAUGAGUCAAAGUUAAAAAGAUGUUUGGUGUCUAGUACUAUGUCUGUGACCCUAUAUGUCCUGUUGAUGAAGUUAGGUGCUGUUCUGAGCAUUAUUUGUGGCUAUAGAGUGGCGUUUUGGUUG